CUUCUGAAAUAUGGAAUGUGAGAAAUCUUAGGCCACUCUGUGCCGCUGUCCCUGCUGCAUCUUUCCUCUAAAAGGGGAUGACAUCCAUAAAUCCUUGGAGAUUGUAAGUUGGUGAGGCGUUGCAUAGCUUGGACACUUGGUAAAUUCAUCAGAUUCUUGCAAUCCCAAAUCCACAGCUCUUAAGGGAUGUAAGGCUACCCAACCAUUCUGGUAAAGUCUCCACUCCGUCAAUGCAGAAGUUGGAGCCAUGUGGAGUCGUUGUACAUACAACUGGAAUAAAAGUAAUCUUGGAGAACUGUGGCCUUGCACACCAUGAAAUUUGGUAAGGUGCUGCCUACCAUCGAUUCAACUGCUGUGUGACUUAAAAAGGAGAAGGAUAAACAAAUUUUGUUAUAGUACGUGCUUUGAAUUUUUGUGUAGUAAUAGUGGAGACACAGAAUAAAAAAACAAAAGAGAUAAACCUAUAACGUGAGCUCUGUAAUUUGAUUUCAAUAAUUUUAAAACAUACUUAGGAUAAGUGGAAUGUGAGAAAUCUUAGGUCAAUCUGUGCCAUUGUCCCUGGUGCAUCUUUGCUUUAGAAGGGGAUGACAUUCAUAAAUAGUCAGAGUAUGUAAGUUGGCUCGGCGUUGCAUAGCUUGGACACUAGGUAAAUUCAUCAGAUUCUUGCAAUCUUGAAUGUCCAUCUCUGUAAAGUAUGUAAGGUUACCCAACCAUUCUGGCAAUGUCUCCACUCUGUCAAAUUGAUAUAUCACCAAAAAUGUUAGAAGUGAGGUGUUGAAUUUGUUGAGGCGGAGACUUGAGCUUAGGCCAACCAUACAAGGCUAAAAAUCAGGGAAGGAAUCGAGCUCCUCCCAGAACCGACCGAUUUCCAAAUGAUGGAGAGAAUGGAGGCUGUCUAAACUUGGAAGACUCUCUAAAUUCGGGAUGUCUCUUAUUGUCAGCGCCUCAAACGAGAGUGGGAAUUGCAGGCUUGAAAAUUAUCUUGAGUAAUUGAAGAUUCUUUUACCUAAUUUUUGCAAUAACAGGGUAUUUGACAUUUCAUCAAGUUAGUCAAGGGAUAUGAAAUAGAGAUAAAUAAAUCAACCAAAUUCAAAUCACUGUUUAUACGAUUUGAACACUGUUCAUAAAUCACAAGUCGGUCGUACCCAGUGCACAAGGCUCCCGCUUUACGCAUGGUCUGGGAGAGGUGAAUGUCGGCUAGCCUUACCCCCAUUUAUGGAGAGGCUGCUCCCAAGUCUCGAACCCGAGACCUACCGCUCAUGGGCGAAGGCACUUGCCAUCGCACCACUUGUUCAUAAAUCACAAGUAACCAUAAAAAUAUCAGUCCAAAAUCUUCAUAAGGAUAACAAUAACAAACAGAAAGUAAUUGCAGUAGUUCUAAAUAUUAUAUGAACAUGGUUUUACAUGAUGACAAUUCUUGGCAUUACUCAUCUAACACUACUUGGGUGCUGGCAGUGUGUGAUUAAACAAGAUUCAAUACCAUGAUGGGUGAUCAAGCUAGUGGUUCAGCACUCCACUCAUACAGAUGAACUAAAGAAAGUUAAAAUAUUGAUUGAUGUUGCCGGCAUUAAGAAAGAUAACAUGUAAAGGAGAAUGCCCAAGGACUAUAAAAAGAGGUAUAUUAUUGAGAAAUGAAGGUAGAGCGAGAGAAUUAAUAUUGUGUGCAUCAGUACCUGGAGUCAGUUUAUAGCUAUUGAGCAUCAUGAAAAACGCCACAGCAUAGCAAAAGAAAUAUAGAUGGCACUGGGAAACACACAACAUAUAUAGUAAGUCAGAAGUCAACAGUAGAAUGUAUUGAUCAAUUAGAAGUAGAAGAGAAGAGGAGAUGUGGGUUUGAAAAUCUUACAUGACUUAAUUUCAAUGCAAAAGUUUGAGCCAUUUGGAGUCGUUUGUACAUAAAACUGGAAUACAAGUAAUCUCGGAGAACUGUGGCCUUGCACAUCAUGAAAUUUGAUUUUCCCAAUACACAUUUGUUGUAGUAUCGCAAGGCAUUGCAUAGCUUCAAUCCAACUGUUGUCUCAGAAGUCUCAGCCCCAAACUGAUUUAAAAGAAGAGGGAGAAGGACAAACAAAUUAUGUUAUACUAGUUUAAAUUUGAGUGUAGUACUAGUGGAGACAUGGAAUAAAAGAAGCAAAGAGAUAAACAUAUAACGUCAGCUUUGUUAUUUGAUUUCAAUAAUUUAAAAACUUACUGUCGAUUUUUGGAAUGUGAGAAAUCUUAGGCCAAUCUGUGUCGUUGUCCCUGCUGCAUCUUUCUUCUAAAAGGGGAUGACAAAUCCAAAUCUCUAGGAAUUGUAAUUUGAUCAGACCACAACUGAUCAUUUAAAAGAAAAGGGAGAAGGAUAAACAAAUUACGUUAUACUAGUUUAAAUUUCAGUGUAGUACUAGUGGAGACACGGAAGAAAAGAACAAAGGAUAUAAACAUAUAACGUCAGCUCUGUUACUUGAUUUCAAUAAUUUAAAAAACUUACUUGUGAUAUCUGGAAUGUGAGAAAUCUUAGGCCAAUCUGUGCCGCUGUUCCUCAUGCAUCUUUGCUUUAGAAGAGGAUGGCAUCCAGAAAUAUACAGAGUUUGUAAUUUGGUGAGGCGUUGCAUAGCUUGGAAUCUUGGUAAAUUCCUCAGAUUCUCGCAAGACCAAAUCGUCAGCUCUGUAAGGAAUGUAAGGCUACCCAACCAUUCUGGCAAAGUCUCCACUCCGUCAAAUGAACAUAUCUCCAAAUGUGUUAGAGAAGUGAGGUGUUGAAUUUGUUGAGGCAGAGACUUGAGCUUAGGCCAACCCCACAACACUAAACUUGUAAGAUUCAUUAAUGAUGCAACUUGAAAAUCAGGAAAGGAAUCGAGCUCCUCCCAAAAUCCACCGAUAUCCAAAUGACGGAGAGAAUUAAGGCCGUCUAAACUUGGAAGAAUCUUUAAAUUAAGGAUACUGACUAUUGCCAGCGUCUCAAGAGAGAGUGGGAAUUGCAGGCUGCUCACCCAACUUUCUAAUCUUUCACAUCUUUCAAUCCACAUAAGUCGAAGGGAGGUCAUGAUGCGCAAAUCUGAAGUAGAUUGUAGACUAACUCCUCCUUCCCAACUCUGCUACUUUUGACACCAAACGAUGAUAGCUUUGGGCAUCCUCUUAUCCACAAUUCCUGAAGAGAUGGACAUUGUUGUGGAAGAACAGGUAUGCUUAUACUAGUUGUCUUAGAAGACUCAUUCCCAAACUGAUUUAAAAGAAGAGGGAGAAGGAUAAACAAAUUAUGUUAUAUUAAUUUAAAUUUGAGUGUAGUACUAGUGGAGACAUGGAAUAAAAGAAGAAAAGGGAUAAACAUAUGACAUCACCUCUGUAAUUUGAUUUCAAUAAUUUAAAAACUUACUUCUGAUAUCUGGAAUGUGAGAAAUCUUGCAUAGCUUCAAUCCAACUGUUGUCUCAGAAGAAGUCUCCUUCCCCAACUGAUUUAAAAGAAAAGGGAGAAGGAUAAACAAAUUAUGUUAUACUAGUUUAAAUUUGAGUGUAGCACCAGUGGAGACACGGAAUAAAAGAACAAAAGAGAUAAAUAUAUAACGUCACCUCUGUAAUUUGAUUUCAAUAAUUUAAAAAACUUACUUGUGAUAUCUGGAAUGUGAGAAAUCUUAGGCCAAUCUGUGCCGAUGUACCUGGUGCAUCUUUCCUCUAAAAGGGGAUGACAUCCAGAAAUCCAUGGUUUUUGUAAUUUGGUGAGGCGUUGCAUAGCUUGGACACUUGGUAAAUUCAUCAGAUUCAUCAAGUUACUCUAGCAAUAUCAACUACAGACACAAAAUCAAUAGUAUUCAAAUCACUCUGCAUACAAUUCAGAUAUUUCAAGUAGCCCCAAAACUAUCAGUCCAAAAUCUUCAUAAGAAAGCAAUUACAGCAGUUCUAUUUAUUAUAUCAACAUCAUUAUCCUGAAAACAAGUCUUGAGAUAAUAUAGAGUUAUAGACAAAUUUCCUCAUUGUGCAGGAAUCAAUGAAAUACGCAAACUGUAAGAGAUCAAAGAAACAAAUGUGGUAAAUCCACCACUACUAUUGUGAUCAGGAUAAAAAGUCAUUAGCAUGCAAUGGAUGAAAGGAUGAAACAAUAUCUUAAACAACAAACAACACAUUUCUGGAAAAAAAAAAAAAAACAAUAUCUUAUGCAUCAGUACCUGGAUUCUGUUUGCACCUACUGCACUACAUCGUUCCAGUUGCGUAGUUUCAAUCCAAGUAUUGUCUCAGACCUCAACUGAUCAUUUAAAAGAAAAGGGAGAAGGAUAAACAAAUUAUGUUAUACUAGUUUAAAUUUGAGUGUAGUACUAGUGGAGACACGAAAUAAAUGAAGAAAAGAGAUAAACACGUAACAUCAGCUCUGUAAUUUGAUUUCAAUAAUUUAAAAAACUUACUUGUGAUAUCUGGAAUGUGAGAAAUCUUAGGCCAAUCUGUGCCGCUGUCCCUCCUGCAUCUUUGAUUGAGAAGGGGAUGACAUCCCUCAAUACACAGAGUUUGUAAUUCAGUGAGGCGUUGCAUAGCUUCAAUCCAACUGUUGUCUCACAAGUAUCUGCCCCGAACUGAUUUAAAAGAAGAGGGAGAAGGAUAAACAAAUUAUGUUAUACUAGUUUAUAUUUGAGUGUAGUACUACUGGAGACACAGAAUAAAAGAAGAAAAAUGAUAUAAACAUAUAAUGUCAGCUCUGUGAUUUGAUUUCAAUAAUUUUAAAAACUUACUUAAGAUACGUGGAAUGUGAGAAAUCUUAGGCCAAUCUGUGCCGCUGUCCCUCUUGCAUCUUUCCUUUAGAAGGGGGUGACAUAUAAUUAUACGGAGAGUUUGUAAUUUGGUGAGGCGUUGCAUAGCUUGGACACUUGGUAAAUUCUUCAGAUUCUUGCAACCCCAAAUCCACAGUUGUGUAAGGGAUGUAAGGCUACCCAACCAUUUUGGCAAAGUCUCCACUCCCUCAAAGUGAUAUACAAACAAAUGUGUUAGAGAAGUGAGGCCUUGAAUUUGUUGAGGCAGAGACUUGAGCUUAGGCCAACCAUACAAGUAUAACCUUGUAAGAUGCAUUAAUGAUCCAACUUGAAAAUCAGGGAAGGAAUCGAGCUCCUCCCAGAACCCACCGAUUUCCAAAUCUUGGCAUUACUCAUCUAACACUACUUGGGCGCGGAUUUAAACUUGUCAUAGUACAAUGCUUGGAAAUAUCAUCUAGCAUAGCAACUGAAGAUUCUUUUACCUAAUUUCUGCAAAAAUGCGGGCAUUUGACAUUUCAUCAUGUUACUUAAGGGAUGUGAAAUAGAGAUAAAGAAAUCAACCAAAUUCAAAUCACUGUUCAUAAAUCACAAGUAACCAUAAAUUAUAUCAGCCCAAAAUCUUCAUAAGGAUAAUAACAAAGGAAUUGCAGUAAUUCUAUAUAUUAUAUGAACAUGGUUUUACAUGACUACAAAUCUUGGCAUUACUCAUCUAACACUACUUGGGCGAGGGCAGUGUGUGAUUAAACAAGAUUCAAUACUAUGAUGGAUAUUCAAGCUUGCGGUUCAGCACUUAUACAAAUGAACUAAAUAAAGUAAGCAUAUACCGAACUGAUGUUGCCGAAACUAAUAAAGAUAACAUGUAAAACAGAAUGCCCACGUGGUACCACGAAAAGAGGCUUGCUAGCUUGAUAAGGACUGUAACUUAAAGGUACAUCAUUGAGAAGGAAGGUAGAUCGAGAGAAUUAAUAUUUUGUGCAUCAGUACCUGGCCUCUGCUUGCACCUACUGCACUACAUCGUUCCAGUUGCGUAGUUUCAAUCCAAGUAUUGUCUCGGACCUCGUACUGAUCAUUUAAAAGAAGAGGGAGAAGGAUAAACAAAUUAUGUUAUACUAGUUUAAAUUUGAGUGUAGUACUACUGGAGACACGGAAUAAAAUAAGAAAAUAGAUUAACAUAUAAUAUAUACAACUCUUAGGAUAUUUGAUUUCAAUAAUUUAAAAACUUACUUGUGAUAUCUGGAAUGUGAGAAAUCUUAGGCCAAUCUGUGCCGCAGUUCUUGGUGCAUCUUUGCUCUAAAAGGGGAUGACAACCACGAAUCCCUAGAGUUUGUAAUUUGGUGAGGCGUUGCAUAGCUUGGACACUUGGUAAAUUCUUCAGAUUCUUGCAACCCCAAAUCCACAGAUAUGUAAGGGAUGUAAGGCUACCCAACCAUUCUGGCAAAGUCUCCACUCCCUCAAAGUCAUAUACAAACAAACCUGUUAGAGAAGUGAGGUGUUGAAUUUGUUGAGGCAGAGACUUGAGCUUAGGCCAACCAGACAAACUUAACGAUCUAAGAUGCAUUAAUGAUCCAACUUCAAAAUCAGGG
rnacentral:lncRNA from 1 species